UACGGAGGGUGCGAGCGUUGUUCGGAAUCACUGGGCGUAAAGGGCGUGUAGGCGGUCCGCUAAGUCUGAUGUGAAAGCCCGGGGCUCACCCCCGGAAGUGCAUUGGAAACUGCCGGACUCGAGUCCCGGAGAGGAGAGUGGAAUUCCUGGUGUAGCGGUGAAAUGCGUAGAUAUCAGGAGGAACACCGGUGGCGAAGGCGGCUCUCUGGACGGUGACUGACGCUGAGACGCGAAAGCGUGGGGAGCAAACAGG
rnacentral:rRNA from 1 species